rnacentral:rRNA from 1 species
CUGGCGGUGUAGCAGCCGCCAAGGGUGGGGCUGCUCGCCCAUUAAAAGGGAACGUGAGCUGGGUUUAGACCGUCGUGAGACAGGUCGGACUCUACCUGUCGGGGGUGCUGGCCGCCUGAGGGGAAGGUGCCCUCAGUACGAGAGGAACGGGGUGCCGCGGCCUCUAGUCUACCGGUUGUCCGGUAGGGCAAACGCCGGGCAGCCACGCCGUAGGGGAUAACCGCUGAAAGCAUCUAAGCGGGAAACCCUCCCCGAAACUAGGCGGCCAUUCCACCAUGCGUAAAGCAUGGUGGACGAGGGCUGGGGUAGAAGACCCCGUUGAUGGGGCGGGUGUGUAAGCACCAAGGGUCCUCUGGACCCGAGGUGUUUAGCAUGCCGCUCCCAAUCGCCCGAGGU